UACGUAGGUGGCAAGCGUUGUCCGGAAUUAUUGGGCGUAAAGCGCGCGCAGGUGGUUUCUUAAGUCUGAUGUGAAAGCCCACGGCUCAACCGUGGAGGGUCAUUGGAAACUGGGGAACUUGAGUGCAGGAGAGAAGAGUGGAAUUCCACGUGUAGCGGUGAAAAUGCGUAGAUAUCGGAAGGAACAUCAGUGGCGAAAGCGGCUUCCUGGACCAGAACUGACGAUCAGGCUCGAAAGCGUGGGGAGCAAACAGG
rnacentral:rRNA from 1 species